GUGCUCGCUUGGGCAGCACGUAGACUACGAUCGGAGCGAUGCAGAAAAGACUAGCGUGGCCCCUGCGCAAGGACGACUCGCAAAUUCGUGAAGCGUUCCACAUUUUU
ensembl:snRNA U6 U6 spliceosomal RNA